rnacentral:rRNA from 1 species
AAUGAACGCUGGCGGCGUGCUUAACACAUGCAAGUCGGACGAGAAAGGCUGAUUUCGGUUGGCCGAGUAAAGUGGCGCACGGGUGAGUAACGCGUAGGCAACCUACCCUUGUAUUGGGGAUAACCCCGCGAAAGCGGUGCGUAAUACCGGAUACGAUCCUUAUGCGGGAGUAUGGGGAUGAAAGUCGGCCUCUCGAAGAAGCUGACGUACGAGGAUGGGCCUGCGUCCUAUCAGCUAGUUGGUGGGGUAGCGGCCUACCAAGGCGACGACGGGUAGCUGGUCUGAGAGGAUGGAUCAGCCACACUGGCACUGGAACACGGGCCAGGACUCCUACGGUGGCAG